rnacentral:rRNA from 1 species
AUGAAGGGUCGUAUUGAGGUGAUGCGUUCCCUCUGCAAGGUUUUGGACUCAAACUUCGAAGAUAAGUUAAAAGAACUGGGUCAAUGGGAGGAGCUUGACGAGGGAACGAUAGAAUGGAAAACGGUCGAGAGCAGAUUAGAGCGGACGAUACAGACGCUACUUGAGGUCAGAGAUGAGAGAUAUAAGCAGCUGAAAGAGUGUGGGACUAAGGUCAUACAACAGUGGAAAUCAAACGAUGCACCAGCAUCAAGAAUCGUUGAUUUUUCAGAAGCCUUAGCAUUUUAUGAUGCUGCAUCGGCAACAGAGUCAUCCACACAGCUCACUGGAAGCAAAGCUCUCAACAUCGAUUCAAUUAAGAAGAUAAAUAAGGAAAUUCUUUUGCAAAACUCACUAGAGCUGAAGAAAUUGAAAGGAAAGUUUGACAGGCUCAAGAAUAAGUUGUUUUCUCUGAUUCACAAGAACCAUCUUCAGUUGAGUCUGGCGGAUUUUGUUUUUGAAAUGAAAGUUGAGUCGAAUAAAGAUUAUUUUUCUGCAUGCAAGAAGUUGAAAGAGGCGAUCUCAAAUGUCAAAGCUCAGGUUGUUAAGAGGAAGGAAAUAAUUAUGAGAACAGAGAUGCUGAAAUUGGCUAUAGAUCAAUCAAUGCCCCUGGCAAAUAUCGAAGGGUUCAUCCAAGUGAUCAAAAGACAGGUGGAUGUGUUGGUUCAGGAUGAAGGGAAACCUUACAUUUAUGAUUGUGAAGAUAUAAAUUCAAUUCUCGAUAAGCUCCAAUCUAUUGCUUCUGAGAAGAAGGCUCCGCAAAAUUCAGGUUCCAAGCUGAGAAUAAAAGAACUUGUUCCGGAAAAGGGAAUGCAGGAGAAAGCUUCAGGAACCUCAAGAGCAAGUUUUAGUCUGUCUGCUGCUAAUGCGGGUAAGGAAUCUCGAGAGAAGCCCGCAGCAUGUCUGAGAUCAAGCUCAAGGCUCAAGGAGAAGCGAACUCAACCGGAACUGCGAGGAACAAUGAGUCUGUCUGUCCAAGUCCUUCCACAGCAGGAAUCAUCAAGCUCCCAAAGUGGAGAAGAAGAUCACUCAGGGGAAACCUCAAGAGCGAGUUCCAGUCUGUCUGCUGCUAAUGCGGUCAAGGAAUCUGGUGCUGCUGCUCAAAAGAAGCCCGCAGCUGGUCUGAGAUCAAGUUCGAGGCUCAAGGAGAAGCAAGCUCAACCAAAACUGCAAAGAAAGACGAGAGUGUCUGUCCAAGUCUUUCCACAGCAGGAAUCAUCAAGCUCCCAAAGUGGAGAAGAAGAUCACUCAGGGGAAAGCUCGCUGCCUGUUGAACCGCAAUUGAUAGCUUCAUUGCCACCACAUCCAAGGCAGCCCAGGACUCGAAGAGUGGAAAUACCACCUGGUGAAGGAUGA